GAUGAAGAACGCAGCGAAAUGCGAUACGUAAUGUGAAUUGCAGAAUUCAGUGAAUCAUCGAGUCUUUGAACGCACAUUGCGCCCCCUGGUAUUCCGGGGGGCAUGCCUGUCCGAGCGUCAUUGCUGCCCUCAAGCACGGCUUGUGUGUUGGGCCCCCGCCCCCCGGUUCCCGGGGGGCGGGCCCGAAAGGCAGCGGCGGCACCGCGUCCGGUCCUCGAGCGUAUGGGGCUUCGUCACCCGCUCAGUAGGCCCGGCCGGCGCUUGCCGACGACCAUCAAUCUCUUUCUCCAGGUUGACCUCGGAUCAGGUAGGGAUACCCGCUGAACUUAAGCAUAUCAAUAAGCGGAGGA
rnacentral:misc_RNA from 1 species